rnacentral:rRNA from 1 species
UACGUAGGGCGCAAGCGUUGUCCGGAAUUAUUGGGCGUAAAGAGCUCGUAGGCGGUCUGUUACGUCUGCUGUGAAAUCCCGGGGCUUAACCCCGGGCGUGCAGUGGAUACGGGCAGGCUGGAGGCAGGCAGGGGAGAACGGAAUUCCCGGUGUAGCGGUGAAAUGCGCAGAUAUCGGGAGGAACACCGGUGGCGAAGGCGGUUCUCUGGGCCUGUACUGACGCUGAGGAGCGAAGGCGUGGGGAGCGAACAGG